rnacentral:lncRNA from 1 species
UGAACCACCCCAGGCCCUUUGCACCUGCUAUUCCCUCUCCUCAGCAUGCUCUGCCCCAGACAAUUGCAAUGCUAACUUCUUACUUCCUUCAGGUUUCACUCAGAAAUGACUUUCUCAGUGGGGUCUCCCAUGACCAUUUUAUUUAAGAUUUCAACUACUUUGCCAGUAUUUCACUUCUCCUCCCUUGAUCUUUUCUUCCAAGCACUCACUGCCCUCUUGCACACUGUAUCUUUUACUUAUUUAUCUUGUUCAGUUUCUGCCUGCCUCACCUGCCUCACCACAGUGUACAUUUCACGAGGGCAGGGAUUUUGUCUGUUUUGUUGAUUGCUGUAGCCCUGGCAUCUUGGGCAGUGCCAGCACCUGUUAGCAUUAAAUACAUAUUUACUGAAUGAAUGAGUGGCUUCAUGCUUAAAAGCAAGAAGAGAGACCUUCAUAGAGAAGUAGGAAAAUGAAUUGUUGCACAAAUAAAGGGCCAUGUAAUGAGAGAGAGAGAGCAAGAGAAAGAGCAAACAAUUAAGGAGCAGCAGUGGCUUCCUGCAGGGGAGACCAAUGCCUUCUGUCCUCAGCGGAAACAGCUUGGCAUUCUUCCAAUUGAUGAAUGGCAUGGACCAGGAGCACUAGUUAUCUUCAGCUUCUGAGCAUCCGAAUAAAUAAACAUACAAAUGCAUAACAUAAAAUAAAUUCAAAUUACAAAUGAGAAAACCAAUCUAGGUUACCGGCAAGUCCUAUGACUUGAUGUGGAGGCCUGGAAGUGCAUCCUUGAAUCUUGCAAUGCAGUGAGCCAAGGAGCAAUGAGAGGCCACAUGAAUAACCGGGCCAGUGACAAGACACAUGUCCUCCUCCUUGCUGGUAUACACCAGAAUGCCCCGCAUGCAGCGAAUGCUCAAAAAGUGUUGGUGGAAGUGACAGAAUUCCAUCACCAUUAAACACAACCAGUGUUGCGGUUGACAAUGGCACUGAAGCAGGUGAAAAAUCCGUACAGCAGCUUCUGUCUUUGAAGAGUUUGCAGCCUCUUGAAGAGGGUUUAGAGGUUAAAAAAAGGACCCAGGCUGAUAGGGCCGCUACCAUUUGGAAAGUGACAAGAGGAAGAGAGAGAAUGAAACAACAGUAAGCACUGGCUCUCAGCUUCUACCUGAAGAGACAAACAUUGCUUUCACUUACAUUUCACUGGCCAAAUCAAGCCCAUGGCAACAAUUGAGUUCAAAAGCAUAAGGAGGUAUCUGGAAGGAAGAGAAUCAGAAAAUUUCUGAUGAGCCUCACUGACUACCUUCAGGGCAAAAAGGAAGAGAGGCACUCCAGAUCAGAGAUCUGCAUUGGAAACUCCUUGAGAACCAGAAGGGUAUGCUGUAUUUUUGUAACUGUGAGGAGCCCAGAAAGACUGAAGCCCAAAUAAAAUUCCUUUAUUCAAUAUU